AAAACAAAGUAGCAUCUGAAAUGCAUUAGUUAUUAGAGCAGUAUUGAAACCUGUCUGAGAACAUUGCCAAGAAUGAUUUUCGUAUCCACUUUACACUCCCUCCCGUGAUCUUUUUCAGGCAUGAGGGAAAGAGAAGGCACACUGAGUUGGAAACUCCAGACAGAGGGAUCAUGGUGAGAAGCAGUACUGCCUUCAUCACUGUGAUGCUGAAAUACAUCAGGUCCACUGUGUCAUGUGGAAAGCUUUCAAGAGAAAAGGCAUCAUUCUAUCUGAAAGAGAUUCUGCACAGCAUCUUCUUUCUUGGCUACAUUAACAGACCACGGUUUUAUCCUGAAGAUGUUCUGUCUGAGGAAAAUGCCUUAAAUCUGAGAGAAACAUUUCCAGAUAUGUUCCAGACAUACAUGACUCACCUGCCCUCAAGACCACCCUACUCAGCUUUACUGGAUGUGGUACAGAAACCGAAAUUACUUUUGCUCAAAACAUUCAGUACUUUGUUUUGCAGAGUUUCUCAAAUUGUUUUAUUCCUCUCCAAGGUUGUUGAAACUACUGGAACAUCUGAUUCUGCUGCGGAUCAAGACGAAUAUGAAGUGCUUGAUAAACUGUUGGACUUGAAUAAGGAAAUGUAUGUGCCUCAACACCAGAAUACGUCAAUGGCGAGUGAAAACGCAUUUUGUUUAGCAUCAGCUGUGGUGAGUUACUGCUUUUUCCUAGAUUUUCUUACCGGUCAAAAGACCAAGAAGUACUUUGGAGCACCCAUAGCCUGCAAGGGAAAAGCUCAGCGGGAGAUCUUUAUUGACCUAUCCUGCAUCAAGACGUGGAAUCGGAACGUGGCCUUGUCCGUGUGUUUGAUGGCCAGUGGGUACCCUCCAAUCUUACUUCCUCAGUUUGUGCACUCUGCUGCAUUUCGUAUACUCAGCAGCAGGGAGGAGAAGCAGGCGAGUGCCAUACCAUGCAUUUCUGAAAAACAGCAGUCUUGUGGUCAAAGGUUUGAAGGAAAUGCGAGCAGUGGCUUUAGCUGUCAGCGCUCCACCUCUGACACAGUUGAACACAUGUCAUCUCAGGCACCAAACAGAGAGCUGAGCUUCAGGUAACUCCCCGUGCAAAGCUCCCAAACAGACAUGUUAGUGUUUCACUACCAUCCAAAACCUCCAUGUUUCAGAUGUUUGAAGAUCUUCCCAAACGUAGUAUUUUCAUCCCUGCCACAUGUUUUACCUGUUCCAUAUUGGGAGUAUGGGAACUGUGCGGAAUGUGAAGCUCUAAGUAAACUGCUGAACGCGGAGCAAAGUGUUAAUAUGAGAGUGUUAAUGCCUUCUAUAAUUAUGGGACUGGAGUUUCUGCACUUCAGUCCAUCUUUGUCUCCCUUUGAGUUCAUACUUCUCCCAAGAAAAUGUCGACUGGCAGACAAUCUUACAGCAGCCAGGUUUGAGUUUAGGGGAUAUUUCCAAUUUUAUGAUCCUCAGCUGUGAAGUUGCUGUUAAAGAACUGCAGCUCUUGGUUAAGCCUGUUACAAGAACUACGCAUGUCCAGGCUUUCUAUGCCAUUCUCCUGGGUUAUAAAAUCAUUACCAGUCAUUAUUUCUUGCAAAUAAGGUAAAAACCUGACUAAAAUAUGGGUCUCCGGUCCCACCUUUAUCACGUUUACCUGAUACAGUCAUAUAAAUCUGUGAUGUGUGUUACUGUUGACACAUUUUUUAGCUACAGUGUCCAGGAGGGGUGGGCAGCUGCUGGCACUUGGACCCCCAGCAGUUUAUUUUUCUCUUCCGUUUCGGUGGGGAGUUUUUUGCUUUCUUUUUCUUUGUGGCCAGUUGGCUUACUUUGUAGCUUUACUAGCUAGUAUAGUUUUUAUAGUCAUUUAAUGCAUAGCUAACAUUUUACUACUGCCUCUUGAUCAGAAGAUUGUAUAAGAAUAUUUAAUAAUUCAAUGGAAUAGCAUUGUGCUUGGUGAAGGUUUGCCUGUCUUUUUCCAUGUCUCGUAGUCUGUAUAAUUUUCAUCAGUUAUUUAUAUUUUUAUAUACACUUUUCACACUCUUGUUUUUAUAUUUGGCCUUUUACUGUUCAUACUGUGUAAAACUGUGUUCUGUGUUUAAUAAAAACUGCUAAGUAAAUGAGAGCA
rnacentral:lncRNA from 1 species